GUUCAUGGCCCAAUGCUUUGAUGUUCACAGCACAUUAAAAAUAUCAGUCUCCAUGAAAAACUUUCACCUCAGUAUCUGUGUGACCGUCACACAGGGUGAGAAUUCCCCAUUCCUACAUGCCAGGUCACCGGCUGUCCGUUACGAAAGCCAGCGGGCACACACUUAAACCAACGGAACACUCCGGAGCCUUUUAACGGGGCUGGGUGUGUGACAGAGAGUUGCCCGAGCGUGGUGCACUGGACCGUUUCCGGAUGCCUUCGGUCGAAAAGCGGCUUUCAGGCCAAGCUUGAAAAGCUCCUUUGGUAAUGGCGGCUGUCUGAUAAACAGAACACCUGGAGGGAUUUUGGGGAGACUCCUCGUCUUUAUUCGAGAAGCCAAACGGAGGAUGAAGGAAACAUUUCGCAGGAAGUACAGCCACACCUCCUUCCCUCUCUGCCACCACGAUGGCUAUUGAUCUUCACUUUAUUUAGCCUCUGUCCUCAUCCAAGAUGGCCACCUUCCCCAUGAAAACGAAGACAGCAGUGCUACAGGGCCCAGAGGCCAG